UCCAAUCAAUGAGCCUCAAUGUAACAUCCCGGAAUCCACAAACACCCCGGAAUGCUACUGAACUACACUUCUGACAUCCAUAUAUAAAAUUUCGACAACAUCUCCUUUGCAAAAUAGCAUAAAGGAGGGGGCAACAGUGUAUAAACAUGUAUCAUGACAAAAAACAUACUAAGUAUUAUUAAACGGCUAGCAAAGGAAAGUUAAACAUACGACAUGAACUGAAUUAACCAAUGCGCAUGACUAGUAAAAAAACAAACAUCCUUUGACAUCAAGUUUCUAAUUAAAUCAUGGAUGCGCUUGGGCAGCCUUAAUAUGAGAGUGAAAGUGGACGUGCUGCUACUCCCCUCAUUCCCAACAUAUAUCAAGUACCUGCAUUGAGUAAUGCAAGAGUGAGAUGACACAUCUCAGCAAGUAAAAUAAUAACAAACUGUUUAACCGCAUAAGAACAUUGUUUUACCACCAUUUGAUUUCGCAACCUUCUUAUUAUGAAGGUGCAGCACGAAUACAACGUACAACACACCUAGCUACCACACCUCGCAGGUAGAAACCACAAUAGUAACAUAGUAAUGUCACACUUCAUAUAUACCUCAUGAGUGCAAAUGUCUGCAAAUGCAAGGAUGACUUCUGCCUUCAUACCUCUAAGGAUAUGAAGCCGCAUCGUACCCCUCCUCGGGCAACGUACGAUGCUAAAAGUGUACCGGUACGGUCGGACCAUAAGAUCACGACAUAACUUCAAAAUGCAAUAUGGAUUAUGCGAUGUGCAUGACAUGCCUACAACACUUCAUACAACAUGAUUCAAAAAGAUACUUCAACUUCAUCCAAGAUGGGAAUCAACCACAUAUAUCAUUCCCAAAUCAUGAUCAUCCUCAAUAUUAGACAAUUGAGAAUUAAUUCUUUCGAACAAAUAAACUUCAUCAUAGAAAAUACUUAUGCAUACUCAAUGACAAGGCAUAGGAUGCAAACCAAACGGUAGCAACCACCACUGUAUUUACUUGCCUUUACCGGAAGUUUGGGCAAAUCCCUAAGUACGAUCCGGAAGUCCACCACCUGUUUUUGACACACAACUUAGUGCACCAAUUUCACAUAACCAGACUCAUAAACGACGCCGCACCUACGCACAAACUCAAACCCCGCCCGCGGGUUACAUCUCUCCCCACACCCACCAAACUGCAGCGGCGCUGCUUAAUAAUUUCAUAACUUCAAAAUUAUGACAGCAUUGGUAACAAACAAAAACUUCAGAGGCAUCUACAUAAAAUUCCCCACAAGUUUUGUAUACAAUUUAUAAUUAAAUUCCAACAUCUAAUUAGCCCAAAACAGUUCAUAAGAUGAACCCUGUAAUCUGUUUUUUUCUCUUUUGGACAGCGACAUACCCGGAUUCAAACAGCUAUAUCUUUUAAAAUAUAAUUCCAAUUCAAGCGCAUAAGUACUCAUUGGAAAGAUAAGACAAAGCCAUACAUGAUUAUCAUACUGGUUAGCACUAAUUAACCACGAAAAAUUCCCAGAAAUUGCUAAUACUACUGCUGUUCACCCACCUGAAAAAUCUGUUUUUUUUUACAGCAACAUACCCGGAUUCAAACAGCGAUAUCUUUUAAAAUAUAAUUCCAAAUCAAGCACAUAAGUACUCAUUGGAAAGAUAAGACAAAGCCCUACAUGAUUAUAAUACUGGUUAAUACUAAUUACCCACGAAAAAUUCCCAGAAACUGCUAAUACUACUGCUGUUCACCCACCUGAAAAAUCUGUUUUUUUGGACAGCAACAUACCCGGAUUCAAACAACGAUAUCUCCUAAAUUAUAACUCCGAAUCGAGCGCAUAAGUACUCGUUGGAAAGGUAUGACAAAGCUCUAAAUGAUUCUCCCACUGAUUCCCACUAAUUACCCACGAAAAAUUCCCAGAAUCUGCUAGAACUACUGCUGUUCGCGCACCCACAAAAUUUCUGGACAGCACCUCUACCAAUUCGCAUACGUAAACAUCUAAUCGAUUGAAUUGCAGCACAAAUAAACAAGAGUUAAUCACAAAAUCACCUUGGGUUCCUCCUUUCCUCCUUCCUUCCUCCCACCAAUUCUCCAAUCGGAACUUGCACCCACACGAAGAAGAUCCGGCGAGGAAGGACAUCACUUGGAGAGGAGGAGAUGGGAGGGGGGUGGCGGCUAGGGUUGAGGGAAUGGGGGCUGCUGCACAAGAGAGAGGGAAUUAGGGGGAGGGGAUGGAGGCCAAAGGCUAGAGAGGGGGGGGCGGCUGCACAAGGGGAAGGGAAUUAGGGGAAGGGGCGGCUAGGGUUAGGGGGGUUAGUGGGCCGGAUCAAGAACCACGGCCCAACUCGCUCACGCGUCAACUCCCGACCCCGGCGCACAAGUCUAACCAAAAUUCUAUUGUUUUACUAGCGAAUGCUACCCAACAAUUCCAAACUCCAAAAGUGCACUACCCAAAGGAGAAGCAAAAAAACAAGAAAGAAUAAACUCCAACUUCUCUUCUUUGCAAACUGGGUAUCACACUCUACCCCCCUUAAAAAGAAUUCGACCUCGAAUUCUGACGCUUUUAUCGGAACGACAAAAGCAAGAUUAAUGAAUCAACAAAACUCACACAUAAUGAAAAGUUCGGGUACUUCUGCCACAUCAGCUCCUCAAGCUCCUAGGAUUCUAAGAUACGCAGCAGACGACACUCUAGAGUCUGGUCUUGCUACACAGGGAAUCGACUCUAGCUCGAUUUGAUGGUCUGGAUUCCUCAAAUACUUCCUCAACAUAAAGACAUGGAAUACAUGGUGUACUAUGAUUAUAGAUUCCGACAAUUGUAUGUACUAAGCCCAGCUGCCAACUCGGCUAAGAUAGUAGACAGUCCUAUAUACCUCGGACAAAGCUUUCCUGACACCAAAUCAACAUUGACAUAUGCAAGUACUUCAAGGAAUGUAUAUAUGAAUGCAAUGCAUAUAGUGUUCCUAUAGCCUAAACCAAACUUAGCCAAACAAGAGCAACUUCAAGAGAGCAACUUAAUGCUUGCAUAUUUCUGGACAGCAGCACAGUGGUUAAUUGUUUUGCUCAUAACUCACAAAAUAUGCAUCCAAAAUAGUAGACUAGGACUUUAUGGAAAUCUUAUAAAGUCCACUAUACCCUUGGUAUUAUCAUCACAACAAGAUUUGACACAUAGAAAGGUCAAACAAUGCUAAACGUAAAUUCUGUCCAGACUUGGACAGAAUUCAACUACUCAAUUCAAAAAAUCCCUAAUUGGAGUCUCAGUCAUCCAAUUCAGGUGCUCCUAGACUUUUUAGAAAUCUAAUAGAAUUGUCUAUAAUUCAUUUAUAACAUAUCAUGUUAAUUCAAUGCAUAUCAAGGUCAAAAAGACAUGAGAAAGGCUCUGCUGUCCAAAUUUGGACAGAUUCAAAGAUCACACUUAAAACAGCUGUAACUUAACUUAUAGAUCUCCAAAAAAGGUGAUCCAAAAUUUGUUGAAAAGAUUAAGAAAAGUACUACAACUUAUUUAUAAUUUAUAAGAACUUAUUCGAAGUUUAAAUUGGGCAAACGAGGUCAGUUUCGAAGUCUGUACAAAAUCUGGACAGAUUCCAAGACUGGACUUGAGAAAAUCAUAACUCCCAAACUACUAGACCUAUGGUCAUGAAAUUUUUACACAAAUAAGAUAAAGAAGUUGGCUACAACUUUUAUAUAUAACAUCUCUACAGAAAAGAUGGUUUACUUUAUUGAACUAGCUGCAUAACUAAAACUGGUCAUGCAGUCCCAACAACAAGCAAUAGAUUUUAUGAGGUUCAUUACUCUUCUAAGAUAAAGCGUUCAUCGUUCAUCGAAAGACUAAUAAUUUUAGGUUCUUCAUUACGAGACACUUAGAACAAAUAUAAGUAUAGAAGCAAUAUGAUAACUUUUUAAAUCAUUUAAGCCUAAUCUCACAUCAUGCAAACAAGAAUCAAUUUAAGCAUGUUAUGCCUGCCCACAUAUUUAUCCAAGCACAUUCUAUACACUAUAUCAUAACUCCCUACAGCUAACAAAAUUUUGCAAAUAUAAACUCAUUGAAAAGAUUAUAACAUUCCCUAAAACUUUUAUUAUAAUGAGUGUCUCGAAUUUGGUUUCCAAACCGAUAAAACAAUGCAACACUUUUGUUGCAAAACUGAUAGGAUUGAAACAAUGGACAACUAAAAUUCAAAAACCUAUAACUCCUGCUAUACUCAACUUAAACUACAACGAACACGCGUUGGAAAAGUUUUGAAAAUUGUCCACGACUUUUGCAAUAAAGUUGCACCCAAAUUUAUCUUUAUAGCCCUCAACUAUGCAUGACCUACAGCUAAACUCAGCCUGAGAUACUGCACAUUAGAGAUUCGACUUAUAAUCGGACAACCACCUCUACCAAUCUAUUUAACAGACAAUUACAAGUAAAUGCCCAUUUAAAAGGUACUGAGAAGAACUAAAAGUUUUGCUUAAAGAGAAUUCCCAACUUUGGGCUAUGAAACUAUCAAAACGUGGUCGAUUUAUUGGUGGUUAUAACGACAACUAAAGUUCAGACACAACGGUGCAACAACUUCAGAGCAACCUAACUCCAAUUAUAUGCAAUGAGAAUUACAAACCAAUACUCGUUGGAAAGACCAUAAAAUUGCUAAAACUUUCAUAAUCCAACAAAGACCAAAUUAUAUUGUCUUCAAUGUCUACUCUUCCGUUCAAAAUUAAAGACUCAUUCUGCCAGAGACACCAAUAAGGAUGUUUUAGGAAACCCAUAACUCUCAAAUGUUUGGACCAAACCGGGUGAUUAAGCAUCCUAUGGAAAGAUGAAAAAACAUACUACAAAACAUUCUAGACAAGUGAAGCCUGAUUCAGCAUCCAACUAAUUUAAAAUGCCUCCCAAAACCAAACAACACAUUAACAACAAUAAAAAAACAAUAUAAAAUGAAACCCAAGGCACUGGCAGGUGCAAUCAACACUAGGAUUUUCCACUACCAAAUUGGGAUGCAACUCCACAAAGUCUUUAAAUAAAACUCUACCAAAUAGGUUAGAACACUAAGCACAACAAUCAACAAAUUCAACAUCCUCGUUUGUUAACGCCACUAAGGUCAAACAUUCAUGUAUCGACAAUGUAUGGAACACCUGACAUACCCAUCUCAAGCACUAUAAAACAUGGUUGUUAUUACACUAGAAUCCAACUAAUAGAAAUCUCCAAAACUAUUUUGUUGACGUGAAGCAAAUGGUGCUCAUGACAUAUAACAUCUUUUUUUCUCCUCUCAAAAGAGAUAAAAUGUGCAACACUCAUAAAGCAAUGGAGGGAUAACAACAAGAAAAACUAAUGAUCUUCUUGAUACAGACUCAUGCAAAAGCUUCAUAAAUAUUACUUUCAACACUAAAAUAAUAACACGAUACUAUGCUCAACAGGAGUAAUUGGACUUCAAUAAGACAAUCCACCUAAUCAAACUACCUUGAUUAACCUCACAUACAACAAUACCUCCUAUUAUUGCACUUGAACAAUUUCUACCUCGUGAUGUCAUAGGAUGAAUUCAAAGUAGUAGACAUACAUGAUCUAUCAAACCAUCAUUCAUAUGAAAAAAAAAUCUCCAUCUGGUGCAACAACCACAUCAUUAUAGAGAUAGAUGACUAACAAACAUAAGCAACUUCCAGUUAAGCAUUGACUUUGUUUAAGAUAAAGCGGUCCAAAUAAUAAUUCAACAAGCAUGCGUAAAGAACAGAUCAAAAAAAUAAAACUACCAUAUAUCGUCGGCGAUUACAAAUAUAUAUAAAAUGGGUUGUCCAUAUCGUCCACAUGACUAGCCUCCAACAACUAAAAAAAUAUGCAUAACCUUUAUGGCUAUAGAAACAAACCAUGGAAGGAAAACAUGCAUGCCUCUUCAACUAUAAUAUAGACAUAAAAUCCACUUGAAAUCACCCUAUUUAUUGCUAAGGUUGCACACAAUAAGAAAACCUAUCAUGUAAACAUGGUUGAACUUAUCUAUCCACGUCAUCUUACAAAUUCACUUGAGUUCUACCAGUCUCAAGGUUUCAUAGACAUUACAAUGUUGCCUUUACUCUAUAGAGACAAACCAAUUUUAUACUAAGAUCAAGUUAGCAAGUAGCCACACUAGCCAAAAAAGUGAGGCGCAAAGCAUUGCACCCAUGGAAAUAUUACAUUGAUAAGUUGGGUUGUAACCCAACAGUCAAUCAAACUCAACAACACCAUAAAACUACAUUAUAUAGUGUUUUCACACUACACCAAGUCGGAUUAGACCCACUAUAGACAAGCUCAAUAAACAAUCGGUCCUACAAGUACUAGAACCCAAGAAUCCUUUUGGAAAAAAACAUCCACAGUCAAGCAUAUAGAAAUAUAUGAUAGUAAUAGCUCAGAGAUUUGAAAACAUUGCAUCAAAAAAAAACAUCAUGACAAUAUGUAUAUAAAACAAGUACAGUAGUAGCUUCACUUGCAUAAUAUCUUCAAUAACAACCACAUCAAGAAACCAAUAUUAAAUAGAAAUAACAUAUCAUAUCAAGCAUUACGUCAUUAAUGACGUACCCCAUCAAACCAUAAAGGAAUUUGGAGUAAGGAAGUUCUAGUCAUCUAUACAAUAAAAUACUAAUAUGAAAGAUAUACGAACCCAUACCCUUCCUAUAUGUGCAAGUGUGUCAAAUUUAUCUUCAAAUUGCGUAGAAUCUAAAGCCUAUCCUCUGAUACCAACUGUAACAUCCCGGAAUCCACAAACACCCCGGAAUGCUACUGAACUACACUUCUGACAUCCGUAUAUAAAAUUUCGACAACAUCUCCUUUGCAAAAUAGCAUAAAGGAGGGGGCAACAGUGUAUAAACAUGUAUCAUGACAAAAAACAUACUAAGUAUUAUUAAACGGCUAGCAAAGGAAAGUUAAACAUACGACAUGAACUGAAUUAACCAAUGCGCAUGACUAGUAAAAAAAACAAACAUCCUUUGACAUCAAGUUUCUAAUUAAAUCAUGGAUGCGCUUGGGCAGCCUUAAUAUGAGAGUGAAAGUGGACGUGCUGCUACUCCCCUCAUUCCCAACAUAUAUCAAGUACCUGCAUUGAGUAAUGCAAGAGUGAGAUGACACAUCUCAGCAAGUAAAAUAAUAACAAACUGUUUAACCGCAUAAGAACAUUGUUUUACCACCAUUUGAUUUCGCAACCUUCUUAUUAUGAAGGUGCAGCACGAAUACAACGUACAACACACCUAGCUACCACACCUCGCAGGUAGAAACCACAAUAGUAACAUAGUAAUGUCACACUUCAUAUAUACCUCAUGAGUGCAAAUGUCUGCAAAUGCAAGGAUGACUUCUGCCUUCAUACCUCUAAGGAUAUGAAGCCGCAUCGUACCCCUCCUCGGGCAACGUACGAUGCUAAAAGUGUACCGGUACGGUCGGACCAUAAGAUCACGACAUAACUUCAAAAUGCAAUAUGGAUUAUGCGAUGUGCAUGACAUGCCUACAACACUUCAUACAACAUGAUUCAAAAAGAUACUUCAACUUCAUCCAAGAUGGGAAUCAACCACAUAUAUCAUUCCCAAAUCAUGAUCAUCCUCAAUAUUAGACAAUUGAGAAUUAAUUCUUUCGAACAAAUAAACUUCAUCAUAGAAAAUACUUAUGCAUACUCAAUGACAAGGCAUAGGAUGCAAACCAAACGGUAGCAACCACCACUGUAUUUAGUUGCCUUUACCGGAAGUUUGGGCAAAUCCCUAAGUACGAUCCGGAAGUCCACCACCUGUUUUUGACACACAACUUAGUGCACCAAUUUCACAUAACCAGGCUCAUAAACGACGCCGCACCUACGCACAAACUCAAACCCCGCCCGCGGGUUACAUCUCUCCCCACACCCACCAAACUGCAGCGGCGCUGCUUAAUAAUUUCAUAACUUCAAAAUUAUGACAGCAUUGGUAACAAACAAAAACUUCAGAGGCAUCUACAUAAAAUUCCCCACAAGUUUUGUAUACAAUUUAUAAUUAAAUUCCAACAUCUAAUUAGCCCAAAACAGUUCAUAAGAUGAACCCUGUAAUCUGUUUUUUUCUCUUUUGGACAGCGACAUACCCGGAUUCAAACAGCUAUAUCUUUUAAAAUAUAAUUCCAAUUCAAGCGCAUAAGUACUCAUUGGAAAGAUAAGACAAAGCCAUACAUGAUUAUCAUACUGGUUAGCACUAAUUAACCACGAAAAAUUCCCAGAAAUUGCUAAUACUACUGCUGUUCACCCACCUGAAAAAUCUGUUUUUUUUACAGCAACAUACCCGGAUUCAAACAGCGAUAUCUUUUAAAAUAUAAUUCCAAAUCAAGCACAUAAGUACUCAUUGGAAAGAUAAGACAAAGCCCUACAUGAUUAUAAUACUGGUUAAUACUAAUUACCCACGAAAAAUUCCCAGAAACUGCUAAUACUACUGCUGUUCACCCACCUGAAAAAUCUGUUUUUUUGGACAGCAACAUACCCGGAUUCAAACAACGAUAUCUCCUAAAUUAUAACUCCGAAUCGAGCGCAUAAGUACUCGUUGGAAAGGUAUGACAAAGCUCUAAAUGAUUCUCCCACUGAUUCCCACUAAUUACCCACGAAAAAUUCCCAGAAUCUGCUAGAACUACUGCUGUUCGCGCACCCACAAAAUUUCUGGACAGCACCUCUACCAAUUCGCAUACGUAAACAUCUAAUCGAUUGAAUUGCAGCACAAAUAAACAAGAGUUAAUCACAAAAUCACCUUGGGUUCCUCCUUUCCUCCUUCCUUCCUCCCACCAAUUCUCCAAUCGGAACUUGCACCCACACGAAGAAGAUCCGGCGAGGAAGGACAUCACUUGGAGAGGAGGAGAUGGGAGGGGGGUGGCGGCUAGGGUUGAGGGAAUGGGGGCUGCUGCACAAGAGAGAGGGAAUUAGGGGGAGGGGAUGGAGGCCAAAGGCUAGAGAGGGG
rnacentral:lncRNA from 1 species